rnacentral:rRNA from 1 species
AUGAUCCAUUUUAUAAGGAAAACUGGACCCCAAAACAUAACAAUGCCUGGUGCCAAGCAGCUUGUAGCCGCAACUGUCAGCAAGAAAAGGAACUACAACAGGCAAGUGGUUUCCGCAAUUCCUGCACCGGUUCCUGCAAUUAAAGCUAAGACGGUCGAGUCGCAGAGCAAACCCACAGGCAUUCUGCGAAGGCACUCAUUUACGAAGCAGAUUACCAGCUCUUCACUUAAACGAUUCUUUGCUGUGAAAGGGACCUUUUGCUCAUCAAUUGGUCUUCUAGAAGCAUGUACAAUCCAACUUAAAACAUCCAUGGAGGGGAGCGCAAGAUCUUGGCCAGUAGCCUUCAACAUCGCCAACACCUACGGCUACAUAACAGGGAAAGGCUGGAAAAGGUUUUGCCGAGACAACGACGUAGAAGAAGGCGAUCGCUGCACCUUCAAGGUCGUCUGA